rnacentral:piRNA from 1 species
CUGUUUCUGUCUGUAUAUGUGCA